UAGUGACGUAAACCACGAUGAUUCCUGUAACCAUCAGAUGAUAUAAAUUUAAUAAAGAUGAAAAAAUAAAAAACAAACACAGCGCAGCAAGGUUAAGAAAACUACUACUCAUCGACCAUAUGUUUUCCUUAGUUGAAAACUACAAGUGAGAGUUCACCAUAUUUGAUUAAAAAACAAGCACAGCGAAGCAAGGUUCAGAAAACUACAACUCAGAGACCAUAUGUUUUCCUUAGUUGAUAACUACAAGUGAGAAUUCACCAUAUUUUGAUUACCAAAGACAAAGAGGAAUACUUAAACAGCAAAAGCAUCGGAU
rnacentral:lncRNA from 1 species